GGGGAAUAUUGGACAAUGGGCGAAAGCCUGAUCCAGCCAUGCCGCGUGUGUGAAGAAGGUCUUCGGAUUGUAAAGCACUUUAAGUUGGGAGGAAGGGUUUCUGGCUAAUAUCCAGGAAUUUUGACGUUACCGACAGAAUAAGCAAUGGAUAACUUCGUGCCAGCAGCCGCGGUAAUACGAAGGGUGCAAGCGUUAAUCGGAAUUACUGGGCGUAAAGCGCGCGUAGGUGGUUCGUUAAGUUGGAUGUGAAAGCCCCGGGCUCAACCUGGGAACUGCAUCCAAAACUGGCGAGCUAUAAUCUGGCAGAUACUCGUGGAAUUUCCUGUGUAGCGGUUAAAUACAUAGAUAUAGUAAUAAACACCAGUGGCGAAUGCUACCACCUGGGCUAAUACUGACACUGAGGUGCGAAAGCGUGGGGAACCACCC
rnacentral:rRNA from 1 species